rnacentral:misc_RNA from 1 species
UCACAGUUUGCACUGGCAGUCUUGUUAGAGUUCCCGACUUGACUCGCUGGCAACUAACAACAGGGGUUGCGCUCGUUAUAGGACUUAACCUGACACCUCACGGCACGAGCUGACGACAACCAUGCAGCACCUUGUAAUUUGUCUUGCGAAAGAUCUGUUUCCAAACCGGUCAAACUACAUUUAAGCCUUGGUAAGGUUCCUGUGGAUUUAACCCAGGUAAGGUUCUGCGCGUUGCGUCGAAUUGAACCACAUGCUCCACCGCUUGUGCGGGCCCCCGUCAAUUCCUUUGAGUUUUAGCCUUGCGGCCGUACUCCCCUGGCGGGGCGCUUAAUGCGUUAGCUGCGGCACAAAGGACGUGGAAUGUCCCUCACACCUAGCGCCCAACGUUUACGGCAUGGAC